UACAGAGGGUGCGAGCGUUAAUCGGAAUUACUGGGCGUAAAGGGCGCGUAGGCGGUUAUUUAAGUGUGAUGUGAAAGCCCUGGGCUUAACCUAGGAAGUGCAUCGCAAACUGGGUAGCUGGAGUUUAGGAGAGGGUGGUGGAAUUUCCGGUGUAGCGGUGAAAUGCGUAGAGAUCGGAAGGAACGUCGAUGGCGAAGGCAGCCACCUGGCCUAUGACUGACGCUGAGGCGCGAAAGCGUGGGUAGCGAACAGG
rnacentral:rRNA from 1 species